UACGAAGGGUGCAAGCGUUGUUCGGAAUUACUGGGCGUAAAGCGCGCGUAGGCGGGUUUGUAAGUUGAUUGUGAAAUCCCUGGGCUUAACCUGGGAACUGCAGUCAAUACUGCAAAUCUUGAAUGUCUGAGAGGAUGGCGGAAUUCCCGGUGUAGCGGUGAAAUGCGUAGAUAUUCGCAAGAACACCAGUGGCGAAGGCGGCCGACUGGUCCGGUUCUGACGCUGAGGCGCGAAAGCGUGGGGAGCAAACAGG
rnacentral:rRNA from 1 species